GACGAACGCUGGCGGCGUGCCUAAUACAUGCAAGUCGAACGCAGUGGGGACGGGUGAGUAACACGUGGGUAGCCUGCCCAUCACAAGGGAUACCACUUGGAAACAGGUGCUAAACCGAUACUGAUGGAUGAACACGCGGUGCAUUAGCGAGUUGGUGAGGAAACGGCUCACCAAGGCCACGAUGCAUAGCCGACCUGAGAGGGGGAUGGGCCAAACUGGGACGGAGACACGGCCCAGACUCCUACGUGAGGAAGCAGUAGGGAAUCUUCGGCAAUGGACGAAAGCCUGACCGAGCAACGCCGCGUGAGUGAAGAAGGUUUUCGGAUCGUAAAACUCUGUUGGUAGAGAAGCGGUAUCUAACCAGAAAGCCACGGCUAACUACGUGCCAGCAGCCGCGGUAAUAC
rnacentral:rRNA from 1 species